UACGUAGGGCGCAAGUGUUAUCCGGAAUUAUUGGGCGUAAAGAGCUCGUAGGCGGUUUGUCGCGUCGGGAGUGAAAACUCAGGGCUUAACCCUGAGCCUGCUUCCGAUACGGGCAGACUAGAGGUAUGCAGGGGAGAACGGAAUUCCUGGUGUAGCGGUGAAAUGCGCAGAUAUCAGGAGGAACAUCGGUGGCGAAGGCGGUUCUCUGGGCAUUACCUGACGCUGAGGAGCGAAAGUGUGGGGAGCGAACAGG
rnacentral:rRNA from 1 species